ensembl:lncRNA
UCAACAGCAGUGUGAACAGCAGUGUCAACAGCAGUGUGAACAGCAGUGUCAACAGCAGUGUCAACAGCAGUGUCAACAGCAAUGUCAACAACAGUGUCAACAGCAGUGUCAACAGCAGUGUGAACAGCAGUGUCAACAGCAGUGUCAACAGCAGUGUCAAUGGUCGGUAGUGAUGCCUCUUCGACUCAGAUCCUUUAGUUGUUUGCAUUUUAAGAUAAAAAAAUCCAACAAAAAAGACAAGCAAGAAAACACAUUGUUCUGAAUCUUUGGAGGUGGGCUAAGGACAUCCCCUCCGCCAGGGGCUAAGGACAUCCCCUCCGCCAGGGGCUAAGGGCAUCCCCUCCGCCAGGGGCUAAGGACAUCCCCUCCGCCAGGGACUAAGGACAUCGGGCUAAGGGCAUCCCCUCCGCCAGGGGCUAAGGACAUCGGGCUAAGGGCAUCCCCUCCGCCAGGGGCUAAGGACAUCAGGCUAAGGACAUCCCCUCCGCCAGGGGCUAAGGACAUCCCCUCCGCCAGGGGCUAAGGGCAUCCCCUCCGCCAGGGGCUAAGGACAUCCCCUCCGCCAGGGGCUAAGGACAUCCCCUCCGCCAGGGACAUCCCCUCCGCCAGGGGCUAAGGACAUCCCCUCCGCCAGGGGCUAAGGGCAUCCCCUCCGCCAGGGGCUAAGGACAUCCCCUCCGCCAGGGGCUAAGGGCAUCCCCUCCGCCAGGGGCUAAGGACAUCCCCUCCGCCAGGGGCUAAGGACAUCCCCUCCGCCAGGGGCUAAGGGCAUCCCCUCCGCCAGGGGCUAAGGGCAUCCCCUCCGCCAGGGGCUAAGGGCAUCCCCUCCGCCAGGGGCUAAGGGCAUCCCCUCCGCCAGGGGCUAAGGACAUCCCAGGGGCUAAGGACAUCCCCUCCGCCCAUUUCUUACUGUUCAUAUCUGAUUUGACUUUCUGCUUUCCCUUCCUCCAUCUCUGCUUCCUUCAUUUUCACAUCUCUCUCAUCUGGUUUUGUGUUUUUUUUUACAUUAUAAUUAUUUCUGCAGCCUUUUAUUCCAUAUACAGGGCCCAUAGGGCCACGGUCUAAAGUAGUGCACUAUAUAUAGAGAAUAGGGUGCCAUAGAGGUGCGGUCUAAAAUAGUGCACUAUACAUAGGGAAUAGUUGCUGGGACUGCUUGUCUCUUUCCAGUGAUCCUGCCGACCAAGGAUGGGUCUGAGGAGCUAUUUGGCGUCUCAGCUAGCCUAGCUGCUAGCCUAGCUGCAUAUCAAGUUAGCGGGGUGUUCUUGAACGCAGUCCGCGACGCGGUUAGCCAUUGUGGCUGGGACCGCUCAUUGACCCGGGUUUGUGGCUGUCUCGAUCCCUGCUGUUUGUUGUUUUCAAUCUUCCCUGUGACCUGCCCUGUCUGGAACUGAGAGGAGUAACAGCAUAACCUACGUUGCUAGCUACCAUGACAAAGACCAAAGCUGGCAGGAGUACUGUUGAGGACAGUGGUGUCUCUCUAUCACACAAAAAAUACCUACAAAAAAUACCUACAAGCAGUCGUUACAACAAGAAAAUAGCUUCAAGUGUUUUGUCCAAAUACUUGUGGAUCCUACUAAUAAAAGAAUGGACGACCUGACCAGAGAGGUCCAAGACCUGAAGAACAGUUUGCAGUUCUCCCAGGGUCAGCUCGACGAGUUGAAACAGGAGAACGGGCAAGAUGACAGCAGUUCUGUAUGUGAAUCCAUGAUAAUCAGAUUUUUACAUCAUUCUUAUCUCGAGGGAUAACAAGGCAGAACAUGGUUGUGGACCGAAUUGCAGAAUCUCAACAUGAGACCUGGACGGAGUCUGAGAGCAAAGUGAGGGAAAUGAUCUGAGAAAUUGAAGAUGGACCACAGGAAGAUUGCAGGUGACAGGCCCAGACCGAUAGUGGUCAAGUUCCUGAGGUUCAAGGACAAGGUAGCUGUUUUGGAAAGAGUCAAGAACUUGAGAGGAAUGUGCAUCUUCCUCAACAAGGACUAUCUUGAAACUGUGCGCCAGAAGAGGAAAGAACUGAUCCCAGCCAUGAAACUGCCAGAGUGCGUGAGGACAUUGCAUACAUCCACUAUGACAGCCUCAUUGUCCACCCUUCCUCCCAGAAGCCUGGAAGGGAUGAGAGAGCCGAGCCUAUGGGCUCGUAGCUUCAACCCCGCAGCACACACACACACCAACUGAUUAAUGGACUGCUGAAUGUAUAUGUCUUUCUCUUGCUUUGUUCGCUCUUUUCAGUAUUAUGUCUGUCUCUGAUAAGCUACCCAGGAAAGGGUCGAAAAUAGCUCAUAUUAAUAUAUGCAGCUUUAGAAAUAAAGUCAAUAACUUGAUAACAUUCAUAUAUUAGCCAUUUGAGACUCACUUAAAUAAUUAAUUUGAUGAUACUGCAGUAGCAAUACAAGGAUAUAACAUUUACAGAAGAGACAGGCAUGUUUAUGGGGGAGGUGUUGCUGUAUAUAUUCAGUCAUAUCCCUGUAAUGCUUAUGGGGGAGGUGUUGCUGUAUAUAUUCAGAGCCGUAUAAUGCUUAGAGAAGAUCUUAAGUGUUAUUGAAGUGUUGUGGUGGCAGGUUCACCUGGCACAUCUAAAGCCUUUUCUUUUGGGGUGUUGCUAUAGGCCACCAAGUGCUAACGGUCAGUAUCUAAAUAAUAUGUGUGAAAUGCUUGAUAGUGUAUGUGAUGUAAACAGAGAGGUCUACUUUCUUGGGGACCUGAAUAUUGACUGGUUUAAAUCAAGCUGUCUGCUCAAGAGGAAGCUUCUCACUGUGACCAGUGCCUGUAAUCUGGUUCAGGUUAUUAAUCAACCUAUCAGGGUGUUUACAAACACUAAAGGAACAAGAUCAUCCACAUAUAUCGAUCACAUAUUUACUAAUGCUGUAGAACUUUAUUCUAAACCUAUAUCCAUACCCAUUGGAUGCAGUGAGCACAAUAUAGUGGCUAUAUGCAGGAAAGCCAAAGUUCCAUCAGCUGGUCCUAAAAUAGUGUAUAAGAGAUCAUACAAAAGAUUUUGCUUAUGUGGAUGAUAUUAAACAUAUUUGUUGGUCUGAUGUGAUUAAUACGCAGCAUCCAGACACUGCACUUGAUGAAUGUAUGAAAUUGCCUCUUCCAAUUAUUGAUAAACAUGAACCUGUUAAGAAACUGACUGUUAGAACUGUAAAGGCUCCAUGGAUUGAUGAGGAAUUGAAAAACUGUAUUGGUUGAAAGAGAUGGAGGCAAAAGGAGUGGCUAAUAAGUCUGGCUGCACAUCUGACUGGCUGACUUACUGCAAAUUGAGAAAUUAUGUGACUAAACUCAACAAAAAGAAGAAGAAGCCAAGAUCAAUUAUAUAAAGAAUUUUGGAGAAAAAAACGUUUGUAUUUUAAAUGAAAUAAUGGACAGAAAGACAAAUUCAACCCUAAAUUAAACUCCAUCUUUCAUCAAAUCAGAUGACUUAUUCAUCACAAAACCAUUUGUUGCCAAUUAUUUUAAUGAUUAUUUCAUUUGCAAAAUGGGCAAACUUAGGCAGGAAAUGCCCACGACAAACAGUGAGCAAUUAUAUUAAUGCAUAAAAAAAUAAAUAAUGAAAAACCUCCUGGCAUUGACAACUUAGAUCGAAAGCUACUAAGGAUGGUGGCUGACUCUAUAGCCACUCCUAUCUGUCAUAUCUUUAAUCUGAGUCUAGAGGAAAGUCUUUGUCCUCAGGCCUGAAGGGAAGCCAAAGUAAUUCCGCUACCUAAGAGUGGUAAAGCAGCCUUUACUGGUUCUAACAGCAGACCUAUAAGCUUGCUGCCAGCUCUUAGCAAACUGUUGGAAAAAAUUGUGUUUGACCAAAUACAAUGCUAUUUCUCUGUAAAUUUUCUUUUUUUACCCCCCAAUUUCAUGGUAUCCAAUUGGUAGUAGUUACAGUCUUGUCUCAUCACUGCAACUCCCGUACAACCUUGGGAGAGGUGAAGGUCAAGAGCCAUGCUUCCUCCGAAACACAACCCAACCAAGCCGCACUGCUUCUUGACACAAUGCACAACCAACCCAGAAGCCAGCCACACCAAUGUGUCAGAGGAAACACCUGGUCAGCGUGCAGUGCGCCCAGCCCAACACAGGAGUGCGCGAUGAGACCAGGAUAUCCCUGCCGACCAAGCCCUCCCUAACCCGGACGACGCUGGGCCAAUUGUGCGCCGCCCCAUGGUCUCUUACCCAGAAUCUCUAGUGGCACAGCUAGCACUGCGAUGCAGUGCCUUAGACCACUAAGCCACCCUGUGAGGCCCUUCUGUAAACAAAUUAACAGACAUUUUGCAUGCUUAUAGACAAUGACCUGCCACUUGCAUUAAACAAAGCAUGUGUGUUCAUGUAUGCUGAUGAUUCAACCAUAUACGCAUCAGCAACCACAGCUAAUGAACUCACUGAAACCCUUAACAAAGAGUUGCAGUCUGUUUUGGAAUGCGUGGACAAUAAUAAACUGGUCCUGAACAUCUAUUCAACUAAGAGCAUUGUAUUUGGUACAUAUCAUUCCCUAAGUUCUAGACCUCAACUGAAUCUGGUAAUGAAUGGUGUGGCUGUUGAACAAGUUGAAGAGACUAAAAUACUUGGUGUUACCUUAGAAUGUAAACUGUCAUGGUCAAAACAUAUAGAUUCAGUGGUUGUAAAGAUGGGGAAAGGUCUGUCCAUAAUAAAGAGAUGCUCUGCUUUUUUGACACCACAAAGCAAUUCCUGCAGGCUCUAGUUUGGUCUAAUCUUGAUUAUUGUCCAGUCGUGUGGUCCAGUGCUGCAAGGAAAGACCUAGUUAAGCUGCAGCUGGUCCAGAACAGAGCAGCACGUCUUGCUCUUCAUUGUAAUCAGAGGACUGAUAUAAAUACUAUACAUGCCAGUCUCUCCUGGAUAAGAGUUGAGGAGAAACUGACUGCAUCACUUAUUUCUUUUUACAAUAAACAGCGUUGAAAAUCCCAAAUUGUUUGCAUAGUCAACUUACAUACAGCUCUGACACACACUUAUCCCAGCAGACAUGCCACCAGGGGUCUUUUCACAGUCUCCAAAUCGAGAACAAAUUCAAGAAAACGUACAGUAUUAUAUAGAGCCUUAUUGCAUGGACUUUCCUUCCAUCUCAUAUUGCUCAAAUAAACAGCAAACCUGGUUUCAAAAAACAGAUAAAACAACACCUCAUGGCACAACGCCUCUCCCCUAUUUGACCUAGAUAGUUUGUCCAUUGAUAUGUAGGCUACGUGUGCCUUUUUAAAAAUGUAUGUAGUUCUGUCAUUGAGCUGUUCUUGUCUAUUAAUGUUCUAUAUUAUGUUUCAUGUUCUGUGUGGAACCCCAGGAAGAGUAGCUGCUGCUUUUGCAACAGCCAAUGGGGAUCCUAAUAAAAUACCAAAUACAGUGCCAUAGGGCCCUGGUCAAAGUAGCGCACUAUAUAGGGUAUAAGGUUUCAUUAGGGAUGUAGUUACAGUGGUUGUUUUCAACACUCUUCUUGAAGAUUAUCUAAAGUGAGAUAUUGAGGUCUUAAAAUGGUGCCUGUUGAGAUGAAGAGGUAGCCAUGUUUAAUAUGGGAUGAUGUGUACCUUAUGAAGAGGUGAGGGGAGGUUUAAACAACAAAGCCCUCUAAGGGCCUGUGUCGGAGUCGGGUUGUAGUGUUGUGAGGGGGUGAUGUCUUGUAGUGUUGCAGAGUGUUAGUUGGAGUUUGUGUGGGGGGGUUCGGACAACCGCGUUUGGCUUUACACCUGCCUCUCAGUCAGGGAAAUUUCUAAAAUGGCGUGCCAGCUGUGAAUGUCCAAGAUGCAACCUUUUAGAAAUGUCAAUCCUUACAUGUCCAGUAGCCAGUAUGGCGAAGACUGCCACAUCGUUAUAGAUUUUCCUAUUUUAUUGUGUUAAACAAUCUGACCGACUGUUUCAACAGUUUUCUGGACAUGCAGAAUGUAGUACAACUCUAGUAGAAGGUAGUACAACUCUAGUAGAAGGUAGUACAACUCUAGUAGAAGGUAGUACAACUCUAGUAGAAGGUAGUACAACUCUAGUAGAAUGUAGUACAACUCUAGUAGAAGGUAGUACAACUCUAGACUAGUGGUUGAACUGUCACUGUACAGGUUAAUAACUGUAGAUCUGUAGAACAUGUACAAGAGUCACAAUGCAUCAAUUGUAUCGUCUCUCCGUAACCCAACACUUACCAGUCUGUAGGACACAGUGGUCAGAUCGUCUCUCCAUAACCCAGCACUUACCAGUCUGUUGGACACAGUGGUCAGAUCGUCUCUCCGUAACCCAACACUUACCAGUCUGUAGGACACAGUGGUCAGAUCAUCUCUCCGUAACCCAACACUUACCAGUCUGUUGGACACAGUGGUCAGAUCGUCUCUCCGUAACCCAACACUUACCAGUCUGUAGGACACAGUGGUCAGAUCGUCUCUCCAUAACCCAGCACUUACCAGUCUGUUGGACACAGUGGUCAGAUCGUCUCUCCGUAACCCAACACUUACCAGUCUGUAGGACACAGUGGUCAGAUCAUCUCUCCGUAACCCAACACUUACCAGUCUGUUGGACACAGUGGUCAGAUCGUCUCUCCGUAACCCAACACUUACCAGUCUGUAGGACACAGUGGUCAGAUCGUCUCUCCGUAACCAAACACUUACCAGUCUGUAGGACACAGCGGUCAGAUCGUCUCUCCGUAACCCAACACUUACCAGUCUGUAGGACACAGUGGUCAGAUCAUCUCUCCGUAACCCAACACUUACCAGUCUGUUGGACACAGUGGUCAGAUCGUCUCGCCGUAACCCAACACUUACCAGUCUGUUGGACACAGUGGUCAGAUUAUCUCUCCGUAACCCAACACUUACCAGUCUGUAGGACACAGUGGUCAGAUCAUCUCUCCGUAACCCAACACAUACCAGUCUGUAGGACACAGUGGUCAGAUCGUCUCGGAGUGACUGCGUCCCAAAUGACACCCUGUUCCCCACAUAGGGCUCUGGUCAACAGUAGUGCACUAAGGAGCCCAGUCUAAACUAUGUAGUAAAUAGUGUUCCAUUUGGGAGUCAGUAUCUCUACUGGGUUCUUUCAAAUUGAACUCUAAAGGGUUCUCGUCAACGAAACCAUUGGACUUCCUGUUUGCUGUACAUUUCUCAAGUACCUCCCAAAAUAUAUCCACUACAGCUAAACCCAUGUAGGGGAAAAUGACAUUCAGAAAUCAAAUAAAAAGAUAGUGAAAGUUUAGUGUCUGUUGAUUUUGGUACUGUUAAAUAAUUGUUUUGUUUAAAAGAGAAAAGACUGUUGGUUUAGUGUCUUCAGAUGAAGAGGUAGUGUUAUCUGCUGUACUGAAUACAGACAUCUGGGGCUGAUGGUCUGAAUAUAGAUAUCUGAUGCUGAUGGACUGAAUAUAGACAUCUGGGGCUGAUGGUCUGAAUACAGACAUCUGGGGCUGAUGGACUGAAUAUAGACAUCUGGGGCUGAUGGACUGAAUGUAGACAUCUGGGGCUGAUGGUCUGAAUACAGACAUCUGGGGUUGAUGGACUGAAUAUAGACAUCUGGGGCUGAUGGUCUAGUAUCUGGUCACAUGCAGCAACAUAAUGCUUCUCUACAGCCAUUACUGCAAUAGGACAAACCUUCUGCCUGUACCCCUCAGGGCUCAGCACUUCUAAGAUUCACAGUACUACCACUCUGGACUAUUAAACUUGUGAUAUAUAUUUUUUUAAACUUUUAUUUAACUAGGCAAGUCAGUUAAGAACAAAUUCUUAUUUUCAAUGACGGCCUAGGAACUGCCUGUUCAGGGGCAGAACAACAGAUUUGUACCUUGUCAGCUCAGGGGCUUGAACUUGCAACCUUCUGGUUCCUAGUCCAAUGCUCUAACCACUAGGCUACCCUGCCGCCCCGUCAUCUUCACCUUCUUAGUCAUGUGUUGUUGUAAUGGCUUACAAAGUAACACAGAAUUUCUCACUUCCACCUCUUUACUGCAGAGUAACAGAGAUUCUGAGUGGGGUAAUCCUACAGGAGGACAGUCUGUAGACGUCUGGACAGACAGGACUGUCUCCAGGAGGACAGAAAUCAAAUAAAAAGAUAGUGAAAGUUUAGUGUCUGUUUUGAUUUUGGUACUGUUAAAUAAUUGUUUUGUUUAAAAGAGAAAAGACUGUUGGUCUGUCUCCAGGAGGACAGUCUGUAGACCACUGUAUACCUCUGGACAGACAGGACUGUCUCCAGUAGGACAGUCUGUAGACCUCUGGACAGACAGGACUGUCUCCAGGAGGACAGUCUGUAGACCUCUGUAGACCUCUGGACAGACAGGACUGUCUCCAGGAGGACAGUCUGUAGACGUCUGGACAGACAGGACUGUCUCCAGGAGGACAGUCUGUAGACCUCUGGACAGACAGGACUGUCUCCAGGAGGACAGUCUGUAGACGUCUGGACAGACAGGACUGUCUCCAGGAGGACAGUCUGUAGACCUCUGUAGAUGUCUGGACAGACAGGACUGUCUCCAGGAGGACAGUCUGCAUACCUCUGGACAGACAGGACAGUCUGUAGACCUCUGACCAGACAGGACUGUCUCCAGGAGGACAGUCUGUAGACCUCUGGACAGACAGGACUGUCUCUUCACGUCUAAUGUCUCCAUAGUGUAAGUGCUGUUUUAGCAGCUCGAUGGAGAACGAAUGAAUAGCUGAUAUCAUCUCACCUGAAAGGUAGGCCUUAAAGGAAACAAGUCAGAAAAACGUUUUGUAAUAUGAAAAUAACAGAGGCAUUCAAAUACCUUGAAUGGCACCCUGUUCCCUAUAGAGUGCACUACAUGGCCCUGGUCUAAAGUAGUACACUAUAUAGGGAAUAGGGCUCUGGUCUAUAGUAGUGCACUAUAUAGGGAAUAGGGCUCUGGUCUAUAGUAGUGCACUAUAUAAGGAAUAGGGUCCUGGUCUAAAGUAGUGCACUAUAUAGGGAAUAGGGUUCCAUAGGGCUCUGGUCGAAAGUUGUGCACUAUAUAGAGAAUAAGAUGCCAUUUGGGACGUAGACACCAUCUUAGGUUAUUGGCGUGGCUCAGCUGAGAAUUCUAGAGUCGGCUGUAAACAGUGCCACGUUAAGUUGUUUCUGCUUUAUUGCGAGUGAGAAAAUGAUACGAAGAAAGCAUGGAAUAAGAACUAUGGUCAUAGACUAGAGUCUGUACAGCAGUUCAUUUAAUAUACUAGUCCAUAGGCUAGAGUUUGUACUGCAGUUCAGUCCUAGUUGAGGAAGAUCCAUUCUUAGACAGUGUUUCACAACGGGAGAUUCUGUAAUACAGCUCACUCACAACCUAACCACAACCCUUACCUCACCCUUUUAAAAUUUCAACGUCAAUGAGAUAAAAUCAGAGUUGGGAUGUCCCAAGGAUCCCGGAUUGCACCGACCGUUGCUAACCAGCCUGGAUCAGAGCAAUAAAGAACGUUUUUCAAAAAGUUAUUAUUCUGCGGUUUAUGUGUUCUAAGAGUUUCUUAUUCUGGGUUCUCUUUGUUCUAAGAGUUUCUUAUUCUGGGUUCUCUUUGUUCUAAGAGUUUCUUAUUCUGGGUUCUCUUUGUUCUAAGAGUUUAUUUUUCUGCGGUUUCUGUGUUCUAAGAGUUUCUUAUUCUGCGGGUUCUGUGUUCGAAGAGUUUCUUAUUCUGGGUUCUCUUUGUUCUAAGAGUUUCUUAUUCUGCGGGUUCUGUGUUCUAAGAGUUUCUUAUUCUGGGUUCUCUUUGUUCUAAGAGUUUCUUAUUCUGGGUUCUCUUUGUUCUAAGAGUUUCUUAUUCUGCGGUUUCUGUGUUCUAAGAGUUUCUUAUUCUGGGUUCUCUUUGUUCUAAGAGUUUCUUAUUCUGCGGUUUCCGUGUUCUAAGAGUUUCUUAUUUUUGGGCCAUUUAAAAACAUUUAGUGACUGUGAAGUCUUAUCAAUAAUAACAGAAAAAAACACACAUGUUGGGUUGUUUACUUGUUCUUU